AAAUUUAAGUUGAAAAAAUGUCAUGAAUGUCAUUUUAAGAGUGUAUCAUUGAAACAGUUUAAGAACCUGCUUGUUUCAGGGCAAUGAGAGGAAAAAGGCAUUAGCUCAAACUUCAUUAGAGAACUUCCAAAGACACUAUUAAUUUAAGGGAGUCAUUUAAUCAAUAAAAAUAUUAACCAUAUCAUCAUGUGCAAUAGUUUGAAUCUGGAUACUGUUAGGUUUCAUAUGUGGUUUGUCUUUUUAUGUCCUUUGUGUGUCCAUGGAUCAAGUAGGGAUGGUGGAAGCCACAUGGACUUCAUGGAGUAACAGCAGCUGACCAGAGCUGCGAGUGGCUCUGAGGAGGCAGUGCUUCCGGCGGGAGCUGCGCCAACAGAGGGUUCAUGCAGCAUUUCUUAAUGCUGAAAAUCAGAAAAUAGACACAAUAAAUUUACUUGAUCAGAAUGAAAAGAGGAAUCACACACUCUGAAUCAAACUGGAAUCACAUACUUCAUGUCCGGGUGGAACAGAAAUCACUACAAAAUAUUCAAGAGGGACAAUACUGUGAACUGCACUAAGUAAAACACAACUAAAGGUGAUUUUUGUGGUUUUAGUAUGUACUCUAGGUAGGAAAAUGAGAUUGCUUUUGCAACGGUUUUUGGGGACACUUUUGAAGUGUUUGUAUCAAGAUGUCAAAAUGUGUUGGCUAGUAGGUAUUUCAUGAGACUAUCAACACAGAAACAGGACACAAGUUCAAGUACGACGACAGCAGCGAUGCUUAUUCUGGAUUAUACCUUGUUUAAAAAACGGCCUAUAGGAAGAGUUCUUCUGUCAUGACAUGAAGGGGCCCCGUGUCCUUCAGAACUCCGCUCUCUCGGCUCCCUUCCCAUGCUGUGCUCAGUGAGCGGUUCCAGCCCCUUUCUUCUGUUCCCCGUCAGCAUGGAAUGAUAACUGGUUUUAAAUGGCUCUCAUGUGUUCACUUCUGGUUCUGACCAUCAGUGGCCCAGAGCACUGGCUCUACACACGGACAUCACUAGCAACAGUUUUACACAAGUCUAUAAAGGUGUUUUGUGCGAGAAUUUUUUAAAAGACUGCUUACAUAACAACCCAUCAUUAAUGUACAAAAAUGCUUUUAAGUGACUUGUAAUUUGAACGCUUGUGAUCUAUGCUUACUUAUAUAUGAAUAUAUGUAAGGCUGAAUAUAUAUGGGCAAAACAAGAUCUGUAAUAAGUCCACAUUACUAAGAGAAGCCUCCAGUGGGUUAGACCUUUGGUAUAAAAAGGGGCAAAAGCAGAGGUAAACCCUGGCACCUAGGGCCGCACAGCACUGGGGGGGCGGGUUUACUGUGGACAGACCAUUGCUUCACCACUAGAGGAAAAGGGGAGACAGCUGAUGUUAAGGAGGUAUAUACAGUGUUACAAAUCGGUUAAGUUUAGAAAGGCAAGAGAAGUGCAGUCCUUGGUUUUAUCAUAGUCUUCACAUUUAACUUGUAGUAAACAAUUAUCAAAACUGAUUUAAAAAUCAGAAGUUAAAUGUUUAUCUGAAAAUGACUAACCAUAAUUCCACUGAUAAUAGAGACAAUUAGCUUUGAUUUGAGUUGGUUACUAUUUCAGGUAAAUAGGCUCUUGCCACUUUUGAAUGACUGGCAGUCACAGGGACUUGCGGUGAGGCUCUAUAAAGGGCAAGCGGGUGGUGAGGCAUAUUAAAAUACAUCUUACGUCACAGGAUGGGAGGUGCAGGAGUGCAGGUCACCAGGUAGAACCCUGUGCUUUCAGAGAGGACACGAGGCCCAGGCCAAAGAGAGGGCAGGCGGCCUGGAGCCCUGGCCUCACACCUGGCAUGGACUCACUGUGCCCCUGGCAGCCCCGGAAGGCAGGACCUGGUUCCCACUCAGAUUACAAUCAACUUGAAAAGUUCUUCAUGUAGGAUAUCCUUUUACCAAAUCACUAAACUUUUCACCCAGAAAAGGCAACCUAAAAAGGUAUAAAAAAGUAGCUUUAUGACAUUGAAGUCCUUGUCUAGCCUCCCUUUGUCUUAAUUCUUAGGGUUGAUUUUCUCUAUAAUUUUUCCAUUAAUGAGCAAAGCCUUUAUUCAUCUCAUGAUCAAUGUGCAUACAAUUGUGGAAAUAAAAUCCUUUUUGUGGGUUCAAUUUUUAAAA